GUGCUCGCUUCGGCAGCACAUACACUAAAACUGGAACAAUAGCAUGGCCCCUGAGCAAGGAUGACACGCAAAUUCGUGAAGCAUUCCGUAUUUUU
rnacentral:snRNA from 1 species